GGCAGGCGCAGCACCGGGAGAAGGCCCGCGCGGCCGGCAUCAGGCCCAUGGCGCGCCCGGUGCGGCGGCGCAGGAAUGCCCGGCACGCGCGCAGGUAGCGUCUUGCCCGCCCGCCCCCGGCCCCCGGACCCUGCAGGGAGGGCGGGAGGGAGGGCCUGCGCUCGCGAGUUCCCGAGAUGCCACGCCUGGAGUUGGCCCUCGGGAGAGCUCCCCGUUCAGACGUCUCACCCCCUUUCCCCGAAUGCUUGAUGGGACCAGGCUCCGCAGGAAUGAAUGCUGGCAGCGGCUCCCAACGAGGGUCCCUUCCUCCCGGGGCGCCGAGGACUCGCUCUAGCAGCUCCCAUUCCUUGCAGGCUGGGAGGCAGGUGUUCCCGGUGGAGCAGCGGAGGCCCAGGAAGGUCAGACGGGGAAAGGAAGACACCAAGUGAUUCCAGAACUGGCUUGACAGCCUGCAAGGGCCUGUCUGAUGGUGGUCACGGCAAAGCCCCCAAGGACCAGGAGUCACUCAUGUCACAUAAGCUUCAUUUGAGUUCCCACCAAACUUGUCUCCGUCCUGCCCAGAGGUCGGCAGGUGCUCUCCUGCCCAGCUGGGCCCCUGCCUCAAGUCCUGCCCUCCUGCCACUCUGAGCCUGCACGUCUUCUUAAAUGUUUACAUAUGCAUAUUUUUAUAUACCCAUGUUCAGCUUUUAAGAAAUGGCCACAACCGACUUCCCCAGUGAGGGCACCAUUCCGCUGCAGGCCAGCAGAGGACGAGAGCUCCAGACUUCACUGGCCGGCACCUGGGCUUGUCGGUCUUCCUACUCCUGGCCGCUCUGAUAUGUGUGCAGAGGGACAGCGCCGUGUUUAAAUUUCCAGCUCCCAAAUGACGAAUAAUUUUGGACACCUUUUUUUAUGUACUUCACUUCCAUCUGUGUCUCUCCUUCGGUGAAAUCUCUGUUAAAAUCAUUUGUCCAUUUUUUGAAAUGGAUUGUUCAUUUUUGCCUUAUUGAGUUUGGAGAGUUCUUUACAUAUUUUGGAUACAAGUCCUUUAUCCGAUCUGUGCUCUGCAAAUCUUUCUCCCAUCUGUCCCUCU